CCCCUAGAUGUUCUGGGCCGCACGCGCGCUACACUGAACAGUUCAACAAGUCUUAACCUUGGCCGAUAGGUCUGGGUAAUCUUUGAACGCUGUUCGUGAUUGGGAUAGACCUUUGCAAUUAUGGGUCUUCAACGAGGAAUUCCUAGUAAACGCAAGUCAUCAGCUUGCAUUGAUUACGUCCCUGCCCUUUGUACACACCGCCCGUCGCACCUACCGAUUGAAUGGUCCGGUGAAAUCUCGGGACGGCGGCUUGGUCGCUUGCGUCCGACUGCUGAAACUUGAUUAAACCAUAUCAUUUAGAGGAAGGUGAUNUCGUAACA
rnacentral:rRNA from 1 species